rnacentral:rRNA from 1 species
GACGAACGCUGGCGGCGUGCCUAACACAUGCAAGUCGAGCGGAGUCGAUUGACGGAAGCCUUCGGGCGGAAGAUGGUUGACUUAGCGGCGGAUGGGUGAGUAACGCGUGGGCAACCUGCCUCGAAGACCGGGAUAACAGCCCGAAAGGGCUGCUAAUACCGGAUGUGGUCAAGGAUCCGCAUGGAUUUUUUGAUUAAAGGGGAAACCCGUUUCGAGAUGGGCCCGCGUCCUAUCAGCUAGUUGGUGAGGUAAAAGCUCACCAAGGCGACGACGGGUAGCCGGCCUGAGAGGGUGACCGGCCACACUGGAACUGAGACACGGUCCAGACUCCUACGGGGGGCAGCAGUGGGGAAUCUUCCACAAUGGGCGAAAGCCUGAUGGAGCGACGCCGCGUGAGCGAAGAAGGCCUUCGGUUGUAAGCUCUUUCGGCCGGGAAAAAUACGCAUCAGUUAAUACCUGGUGUGGAUGAUGGUACCGGAAUAAGAAGCACCGGCUAACUACGUGCCAGCAGCCGCGGUAAAG